CAUAAAUGCGUUAAUUCACUGCUGUAUUUGUAGAGCAAUAUGGGAGGUUAGAAUGGAUCAUCAUAGGCUCAGGGUCGAAGGGAGAGGAAAAGAAGGAAUUCAGUCUUUUAACCUGCAAGAAAACUCACUCAUGCAGACAGAAGUCCAACAGCAAACAGCACACCAGGGUUGCGACUGAAAUGAAGAGCAGUUGAUCAUUAUUCACCCUGUAUGAAAAUGAUACGACCUAAAAGUUUAACUGAGUAGUACAGUAUUUUGUUUUCUAAAGCCGGAGGUGGGUUGCUGGAAAACAAUGCGGUGUUUGCUGCAGGCUGAGAGGAGGACUGCGAUGUACUACCACCACAGCUCUAACAGGGCACAGAAGAGGACCUCAGUAGAAGACUACAGGUUUCUCCAUGGAGCAGCACAGAGGGUGAACAAAGACCAAGAAAAGCUGUUCAAUACACAAGAAAAUAACACACACACUGUUUCCACGGUAUCUCACGGCAGACAUAACUUCCUAAGCCCACCCACAUCUGCACAGGAACAAAAUUGGAGCUGAAGAAGCAAAAGAGUAAGCUGCACCCUUCUUAUUUCUGGUCUCUAGAGCUGGGAUUCUUGACUAACGAUGGAAGGGGAAGCAGUGAGAUAUGAAAUGGAUAUGAGAUUAAAGUUUCCAGCAGGACUGAAUUUUAAUAACUGAAAGGACUGGAAAGUGAUGCAGUCUACUCAAGAUAUUAAGAUAUGGAAAAUAGAGAUUUAACAGAGCAUAAUUAAAAGCAGAGUUUGGAGAAAAUUAAA
rnacentral:lncRNA from 1 species